ensembl:lncRNA
CUGAAUUCAAUUCAGCAAAUGUAUCUCCCUGCUUUGCCAUGCAGCCUGCUGUCCUAGACACUUCAAGGGCUUAGAAAAUGAGCCACAUUCUCUGUCUGUAAACAGACGUUUGUGACAUCACACAUGUUACAUGCUCACAGCAGCUUGCCCGUUUUCUGGCUUGAACUUUUAUCACAUCAAAAAGACCAAUGCCUGGCCUUUUCUAGACAGAUAAACAACUCUGUACCUGGAACAAAAAGACAAACCUACCAGCUCCAUAGUUGCCUAACACUCCUCAGAGAGGAACCAAGUGGGCCCUGCCUGGAUGCUAAUGGCAAGUUUGGCUCUUGGGAGCUGAAACUAAAAGGGACAAUGUAUUGUGCUCACAGGUACUAUACACAGGAGGAGCCUGAAGCUGACUAUGAGCCAAGUCUGUAGAGAGCACCCAAAGUCAAGAUUCCUUUAAGUCUCUCAGUCUUCAAAACCAAAGGUGAAGCGUGGAACUGGAUCCGGAUGACAAAGCAGAAAGACAAGAACAUCCAAUAAUGAUGGCAAGUUGCAGCAGACACAGCCCCUGCCUGCACUCUGCCUGACCUCACCAGCACUUGGGCACCACAUCACCCAGGAAUACUACUCAGCUUGAUUGCAUACUCCUCAAACCCCUUUCCACAUAACCUGGUCAUUCAGAUUACCUGGGGCAUCAUCAGAAAACUACUUUAUCAGAGUAGUUCAUGAGAGAGGCUAAAAGUGAAGCUGGCAGAAGCUUAUUGACUUGUCCAAGUCAUAAGCUACUGGUAUCCAUUGCUGAAGAAAAAUUAUUCUGACUCUUGUUUAAAAUGGCAAGGAAGAGUUUAUGCAGGACUCUUGCAAGAGGGAGAAAGAUUGAGCUCAACGCUGAAUACAGCAAAGACAGGAAUUUACAGCCAGAGUGAGAGGAUCAGUAGAUGGAAAAUUCCUAAGAGGAGGUAUCAAGGGUAGGGGAAUUCUUGCUAAACUGGCUUAGCAGGAAUUUUGCUAAAGAAAGGUCAAGGUGGAGGCCUACUCAAGAAGAAGUUCGGAAAAGCCUGACUAAAGUUUGGUCGAAGGAGUCUUCAUCAUUGAGGGCUCUGUUUUCUAUUUUGUUUUGCUUUUUUCUUCCAACCAGUAUCUUCUGCCCCUAAGAGUUUGUACUGGUUAAUUGACAAAACCAGUCUUUGGUAGGGAGAGAAAAAAUAGUAAGAUAUGGCAGAGUUUAAAAUAGUUUCAUGGACUUAAGAAGAUUUUCUAACAAUUAAAACUGACAAGAAAAAUGUUUUCUGACUUCUAAAAUAUUUAUAAGAAAACAAAAGCAUGCUUCCCAUGAAAUGGUUAAAAAGACGUUUUUGAAAUGAUUGUCCUUACAAAUCUGUCAGAAAAUUAUACAAGUUUUGACCUCCGUCCAUCCACUUCCUACUCAAACAAAAAACAUGAAAUGAUGCCUCUGCUAAAAAUGGUCAAGCUUUACUUUCAUCCCUCCUCUCUCAAAUUUAAAAACAAAUUGCAAGAGGCUGAAGAAAACAUAUUAUUUUGAAAGUGUAGUUCAUUUCUCAAAGAUGUUAUUAUUUCCCUCAACAUACAGUAUGAGGUUUCGUGGGGUAGUCCAUGUAAUUUUUACAGCUAAGCAUAUGGUCUGAGGACAAAACAGUCAUGGUCCAUAGAAAGCCUGGAGACUUAACUCACAGCAUCCACUGCUUCACUGAAGUGGGCUGACAUUGAUUUCCUUAUAUAUCUGGGAAAGUUUAUGAAAGACUCUCUGUGAUGUAAGUAUCUUGGGGCUCUAUUCUUCACAGGAACCACGUGAAAAGAAGUAAGUCAUGGAACAUUUUUAUCUUUACAAAGGUUUAGUGUUAAAAUUCUGAUUGCCAAUUUGUACCAUAUUUAUGUUUAGUUGUGGAAGGGCUCAAUUCUCUCUAUGCACCUUGGCUUCUGGAUGUAAGGCAGAUACCCAUUUUUUUCCCCUUGGAAGAGAUGUUGGCAUUUGAGGUUGGGCCAAGAAAAGCUAAAGAGGCUAGGAAGCGCUUACAGAUGGAGAUAAUUAGCAUAUAAAAAAUAGGCCAGCCAGAUUUUUUUUUUUUUUUAAUCAGGAAGUAGUGGGGUAAAUGCUCUCUCUGGCAAGACUAUAGAAGCUGUGUGGACAGAGGAAAUGUGAUUCAAACCCUGGUAUGAGAAUGGUAUUUUACUUGAACCAGGUUUCAAAAGACUGGAGCAGGAGUUCCUUUUACUGAAAACCGUGGAGUUGGCGGGCUUUGUAGGGGCCUCCCUUCAAAUUCUGCUCCAAGGACACUGUUUUGAAUUUUGUUUGAAAGUCUUAGAAUGGGAGAUGUUUGGUUUCAGAAGACCCAGGAUAAACAUGGUGAACUCUAUUGCUUUCCAAUGCAUGGUAGCGGAAGUGGUAUUUCUGAUACCACCUCCCAUUGAAAGGGGAUUAUAGAAGAAGGUGGGAACCAUGGCCCUAGAACAAAACUGCUCAGGCUUCCAAGGGCUAUUUUGCCAAUCCUAAAGCAAAGGCCUGAGGCUGAUCUGGAUUCAGCUGCUAUCAAUGGGGUACGCUUAAUUGCCAGAUAAUUCACUGUGGUUUCCUGAAGUUCUGAUUCAGAGUCAGCCUUUCAGGUCAUGUGUUCCACCCAUUUUCUGAAGUCUGCUGUUAUUCAAAACAGACUUAAGGGAUGUCUGUCCGGAGCAGGGCUUCUCAAUGGGUGGUAUGGGCAAUGAUGACUGAAUACGGAAUUAUCCAUGUGGGCCAGCGGAU